UACGAAGGGGGCUAGCGUUGCUCGGAAUUACUGGGCGUAAAGCGUGCGCAGGCGGCUUGCUAAGACAGGUGUGAAAGCCCCGAGCUUAACUUGGGAAUGGCGCUUGUGACUGGCAGGCUGGAGUGUGGCAGAGGGAGGUGGAAUUCCACGUGUAGCAGUGAAAUGCGUAGAGAUGUGGAGGAACACCGAUGGCGAAGGCAGCCUCCUGGGCCAACACUGACGCUCAUGCACGAAAGCGUGGGGAGCAAACAGG
rnacentral:rRNA from 1 species